rnacentral:rRNA from 1 species
ACGCGGUGAAUACGUUCCCGGGCCUUGCACACACCGCCCGUCAAGCCAUGGAAGCCGGGUGUACCUAAAGUCGGUAACCGUAAGGAGCCGCCUAGGGUAAAACUGGUAACUGGGGCU